rnacentral:rRNA from 1 species
UACGUAGGUGGCGAGCGUUGUCCGGAUUUACUGGGCGUAAAGAGCGCGCAGGCGGUCGUACAAGUCGCGUGUGAAAGCCCCCCGGCUCAACUGGGGAGGGUCACGCGAUACUGGUCGACUCGAAGGCAGGAGAGGGUAGUGGAAUUCCCGGUGUAGUGGUGAAAUGCGUAGAUAUCUGAAGGAACACCAGUGGCGAAAGCGGCUUCCUGGUCCAGUACCGACGUCAGGCACGAAAGCGUGGGGAGCAAACAGG